rnacentral:lncRNA from 1 species
CUUGGGGCUCAGGGCCUGGUACACAGUAGGAGGUCAUUAAACAUCCCACACUGGUCAGUUACAGCCUCCUACGUCCCAGCUGUGCGUUUCCUGUGAAAAGAAUAAUGGUCCUGCUGCCCAUAGCUGUGGGUUGGAAAUGCUUUCAGACUUGCCCAUGGGAACUCCAGAUGAGCAGGUCAGCUUGGCUGUCACGCCCAGCCCUUUCAGCGUGGCCUAGGACAGAAGGCUGACAGCCUCUGUGAACCUCUCAGCAGCUCAAGAUGCCUCAUCUCCUCCUCUCCCCAGCCUGCCUUCCACCACUGUUGGUGCUGUUGAAAUAAAAUCACUACAUGCAUCUUGCUCAAAAGCUGUCCAUGGCUCCCAAUGCCUACAGGAUAAAAUCUAACCUCCUCGUCCUAAUAUCAUAGGCCCUCCAAGAUAUGACCCUAGCCUACCUUCAAAGAUUGACCUGUUAACCUCCCCACUGGGGACCCCACAUCCAGGCAAGAGGACUGCUCACCAUCCCUGAACACAUCCUGUGUUUCUC